rnacentral:tRNA from 1 species
GGUUAUGGCUCAGCGGUAGAGUGCCUGUCUAGCAUGCCUGUAGCACUGGGUUCAAUCCUCAGCACCA